GUCGAGCGGUAACAGGUCCUUCGGGAUGCUGACGAGCGGCGGACGGGUGAGUAAUGCAUAGGAAUCUGCCCGGUAGUGGGGGAUAACCUGGGGAAACCCAGGCUAAUACCGCAUACGUCCUACGGGAGAAAGGGGGCUCCGGCUCCCGCUAUUGGAUGAGCCUAUGUCGGAUUAGCUGGUUGGUGAGGUAAUGGCUCACCAAGGCAACGAUCCGUAGCUGGUCUGAGAGGAUGAUCAGCCACAUCGGGACUGAGACACGGCCCGAACUCCUACGGGAGGCAGCAGUGGGGAAUAUUGGACAAUGGGGGCAACCCUGAUCCAGCCAUGCCGCGUGUGUGAAGAAGGCCCUCGGGUUGUAAAGCACUUUCAGCGAGGAAGAACGCCUGGCGGUUAAUACCCGCCAGGAAAGACAUCACUCGCAGAAGAAGCACCGGCUAACUCCGUGCCAGCAGCCGCGGUAAUACGGAGGGUGCAAGCGUUAAUCGGAAUUACUGGGCGUAAAGCGCGCGUAGGUGGCUUGAUAAGCCGGUUGUGAAAGCCCCGGGCUCAACCUGGGAACGGCAUCCGGAACUGUCAGGCUAGAGUGCAGGAGAGGAA
rnacentral:rRNA from 4 species